UGGCUCAGAACGAACGCUGGCGGCAUGCCUAACACAUGCAAGUCGAACGCUCUGGUGGCUUUGGCCAUCAGGGAGUGGCGCACGGGUGAGUAGCGCGUGGGAACCUGCCUUUCAGUGGGGGAUAACCGCGGGAAACUGCGGCUAAUACCGCAUACGUCCGGGGCGAAAGCUUCGGGGAAAGAUUUAUCGCUGAAAGAGGGGCCCGCGUCGGAUUAGCUGGUUGGUGGGGUAACGGCCUACCAAGGCGAUGAUCCGUAGCUGGUCUGAGAGGAUGAUCAGCCACACUGGGACUGAGACACGGCCCAGGAUCCUACGGGAGGCAGCAGUGGG
rnacentral:rRNA from 1 species